rnacentral:rRNA from 1 species
GAGUAAUAUAGUCGGAACGUGCCAGUAGGUCGGGGAUAACCGGCGAAAGUCGGACUAAUACCGCAUACGACCUACGGGUGAAAGCGGGGGAUCGCAAGACCUCGCGCUAUCGGAGCGGCCGAUAUCAGAUUAGCUUGUUGGUGGGGUAAAAGCCUACCAAGGCGACGAUCUGUAGCUGGUCUGAGAGGACGACCAGCCACACUGGGACUGAGACACGGCCCAGACUCCUACGGGAGGCAGCAGUGGGGAAUUUUGGACAAUGGGCGCAAGCCUGAUCCAGCCAUGCCGCGUGCGGGAAGAAGGCCUUCGGGUUGUAAACCGCUUUUGUCAGGGAAGAAACGGUUUGAGCUAAUACCUCGAACUAAUGACGGUACCUGAAGAAUAAGCACCGGCUAACUACGUG